rnacentral:rRNA from 1 species
UACGGAGGGUGCAAGCGUUAUCCGGAAUCACUGGGCUUAAAGGGUGCGUAGGCGGCCAUGUAAGUGAGGUGUGAAAUCCCUCGGCUCAACCGAGGAACUGCGCUUCAUACUGCAUGGCUUGAGGGAGACAGGGGUAAGCGGAACUGAUGGUGGAGCGGUGAAAUGCGUUGAUAUCAUCAGGAACACCGGUGGCGAAAGCGGCUUACUGGGUCUCUUCUGACGCUGAGGUACGAAAGCUAGGGUAGCGAACGGG